UUGGAUAGAAAAUUGCUAAUUUGGUGGCAAUUAACAUUAAAUUUAAUAUCUUUCUUCAUUACGUUUCCAAAAUAUUUUCAAAUAUCAAUAGGUGUUCUUUAAAAGAUUGGGACAAUAUUUUUGUAUGUUCUAUCUUUAAUUCCAGAUUUGGUGUAUUCCCUUGAAAUGCAUGUUUUAUUUGUACAUACUGAUAAAUAUAUUUUAUUCUCAGUAAUUACUCAUUAUUCCUAGUUGCCUAAGGCACUCCACCCAUUGAAUUGUUGGUCUUUAUUUAUUUACCAAGAUAAUAAAUCAUUGUCAUUAAGUUUCAUAGUAGAGGUUUUUUAUUUGUUUGAUUUUAUAUUUGCAAGCAAGACAAUACUUUAAAAAUAAAAGUAUUUGAUCCAGACCCUUGAGAGACAAAUAUUUGAAGUUGAUUUUAAAAAUGUGGUUUUAUGAUCAAAAGCUAGAUUCUGGCUGAAUCGAAGUAUAUAAAGUUUUCAUAAUGAACCAAGCAGAUGGAUGUAUAAGGAGUUAACUACAGUUUUCCCUCCCCAAAUGCAGAAAAAGACAAAAUGAAAAGCAAGGAUGAAGUUUCUGAUGGGAACAUUUCCAGAGUUUAGACAAAAUAAAUACCUAAAAGCUGCCCCAAGCAAGUGUGGGGAAAUGAGAGAGAAAGCUCACAGAUGGAGAUUCCAGAAUACAUGUGACCAUUAUCUGACUUCUUGUGGUAGAAUCCAGAGGAAAGUAAAUCUCUUAGGAAACCUUCACUUCUGGAUGUGAUUGAAUGGUGGUUAUAGCAGCUCCGAAUGCCCGCAUCUAGUCCCAAGUGUGAAGGGUUUGGAAUGGCAGCGGAUUAAAAGGGAACUUGGGGCUGUUGUUAGAAAAUAUCUAGCUAGCACAUGUGCUUCCCUUGAUGACUGAAAGGAGCUUUUGGUUCAAGGAUGUAAUAGUGAACAUCAGUAAAUGAUAACAAAGGUGAGAUGAACGUGUGCACCUCAGGGGAGGCCAGUGAUGUCUCUUCAUAUAAUAUAUUUCUCAUUUAAAUCCACAUGAGUUUGGGGAAAAUAUUUUUAUUAAAAUCCCUAACUAUAAAUAUUUGUAGGAAUUAAAUUGUAAGAAUAAUUUUUAAAACUUCCUUUACAUAAAACUAAAAAGUAGGUGUAGUAUGUGUCACUUAGAAAGCAAAGUAGAAGCUAUCUAACUUGCUUAUUUAUCCAGUAAGCAAUUUAUCCCCCCUCUCAUACAUUUUCACUAAUACACACACGCACAAGCACACAUGUUUGAAUGUAGUAGUACUUAGCACAUACCUGAUUAGGAUGGUCGCAUAAGGUAUGUAACAGACUUAUUCAUGAAUCUCUCUUCUCCUAAAUGAGCAUUAUUCACAGCAGACACCCCAAACCUGAACACUUACAAUACACGUUCUGUUAUUCUUUAAUAUGCAAAAGAGAAAUUGACCAUUCUUGCCACAUCUUUUCUGCUUAAUUCAAAUAAUCGCAUUCUACAGAGUAACAUAGUUAACAUGUCUCUCAACUCAGUCCUUUAACUUUUUAAUAUGUAAAUAACGUCAUAUUUUUUCUCUGUUUAAACGUCUCCAGUGAUUUUCCACUUGUGCUUAGAGUAUAAUUAAAACCCUUUUUCUGGUCAGCAACUGGCUUUUUGAUUGUAAUUCAUACCAUGCUCCUCCCGGCUCACUGACUCCAGCCAUUCUGAACUACAUUUAGCUGUAAGGAUACACCAAGCCUGUAUCCACCUCAGAGACUGCACUUACUCUUUAUUCUCCCUUAGAUCUUUAAAUGUUUGAUUCUUUCUUGUAAUUCAGAUUUCAACUCACGUAUUGCCUCAGGGAAGAACUUUCCUGGCUAUAUUACUUGACAUCGCUUCCUCACUAGUUAGGCACACACUUGCUCCCACCAUAGUUACUUUCCCUCACCGCACUGUAUUCUUUUCAUAGCACUUGUCACUAUCUAACAGUACCCUUUAUUUAACUGCUUGAGCUGCGAUUCAAAAAUAAUAAUAAAACCUAGUGAGGUGCUUCCAAGUUAUGAAGGCACACAUAACAAGGCAAUGAAUAUGGAGAUGGAGAUCUGGAGAGUUAUUUAUUGAGCACUCUUUUAGACACUGGGGAUAAAGCAGUGAAAAAAACAAAAUUCUAAUCCUUAUGAAACUUACAUACCAGGGAGAGACACAGAAAGUAA
rnacentral:lncRNA from 10 species